CACACAUAUAGAUGAAAGCGUAGAUUGGUGCAGAACAGCAAGAAGAAAGCUUGUCCUGUUCGAAUAAAGAUUCGUCAUGUUGUGAAGUUUUCAAGCUAUUUGAUAUAUGCCUUGUUCAAAGGUGAGGCGUUUGGGAGAGAGUUCUACAGUUCUUACAAAAGCUUCAGAACAGAUAUCAGAAUGCAAUGCCUGGUUGCACAAGAGUGUAAAAGCUGAAACUGAACAGUCCAUGAAACUGGUUAACAUUUUGUGCGAAUGGCCAAGGAUGGAUCUUCCCAUAAACAAGGGAACAGGAA